CCUGGGUAUAAAAAUGACAAUGUUUCAUAACUAAAUCCUCCCUGAAGUAUGAUGUAAUUCACACACUUAAUUUCUUCAUCUGUCAUUCUGAGCCUAAGAGUGUGAGAAAAAGAAUGCCUGCCCUGUCUGCCUCAUGGAGCUUGGUGAAGAACAAGCGAGAUCACGUGCAAAAAACUCCUUGAAAACAAUACACUGCUUUAAGAUAUAAUGAUUAUGGCUAUAUGCUUGAAAUCAAUAUCACCUGGAGAUUGUUCUACCACUUUAUAUAUAAAUAUGAUUAAUUAUAAUUUCCAGUAUUGUAUUCCAUGGAAAUCCAAAGUGUUUUCUAGGAUCUUCCAGAACCUGGGAACUGACUGCCUCCUUGAUCCUUCCUCUGCAACAGCAGUCCAUUUUUGGACAUCAGGAGAAUUUUGGCUCUUUUCCAUUUUUCACAAAGCAAAAUAGUGAUCCAAGUGAUACAAAGCAUUAAUGAGUAUAGUAGUCUUUAGCAAAUAUUUGGUUGGCAUGAUCUCCUAAAUAGGGAAAUUUACACUAUGGUAAUGAAAUCGCUUAUAAUUCAGCACCAUUCAUCCCUGGUUCUUAAGUGUUUUGAGCAUACAAUAAAGAGAAAAUUCCACUGGC